AGUGAGCGCUGGCGGUAGGCCUAACACAUGCAAGUCGAACGGCAGCACAGUAAGAGCUUGCUCUUACGGGUGGCGAGUGGCGGACGGGUGAGGAAUACAUCGGAAUCUACUUUUUCGUGGGGGAUAACGUAGGGAAACUUACGCUAAUACCGCAUACGACCUACGGGUGAAAGCAGGGGAUCUUCGGACCUUGCGCGAUUGAAUGAGCCGAUGUCGGAUUAGCUAGUUGGCGGGGUAAAGGCCCACCAAGGCGACGAUCCGUAGCUGGUCUGAGAGGAUGAUCAGCCACACUGGAACUGAGACACGGUCCAGACUCCUACGGGAGGCAGCAGUGGGGAAAUUUGGACAAUGGGCGCAAGCCUGAUCCAGCCAUACCGCGUGGGUGAAGAAGGCCUUCGGGUUGUAAAGCCCUUUUGUUGGGAAAGAAAAGCAGCAGGUUAAUACCCCGCUGUUCUGACGGUACCCAAAGAAUAAGCACCGGCUAACUUCGUG
rnacentral:rRNA from 1 species